UUGAGGGCACAAUACUGCAUAAAGGCACUAGAUCCAGUCUGAUCUUGGAAGUUAAGCAGAGUCCGUGUUGAUUUAGCACUUGGAUGGGAAACCAUCAAGGAAUAGCAGAUUAUACUUCAG
rnacentral:rRNA from 1 species